rnacentral:lncRNA from 1 species
GUUAAUUUCCUCAUUUAUGCAUAUAAAUAUCUGUAUUUUCUAGUUUAGAAAUCAGAUUUAAUUUUGGCUCGGAACAAGAAAUAAUAAUGGUAAGAUGUAAUCUAAAUUAAUUCAAAAAGAUAUACUUAUAAUUGGAUGAAAAUGUUUGAACACCUCUAAAGAUAUUCUAAGUUUUAAAUUAAUGUUUGCUGUAAAAGCAGUUAUGAAAAAGAAACAGAAUAAUCUAUUUGGAUAAACAAUUCUUUCCCUGGGAAAUAUUCUGUAUACAUUUCUCUAUUCUGAAUUUAUUUAUAUAUCAAAGUCUACAAAUGGUUAAUAUUACAGGAACUACUUAUAUUUAUGUAACUUUUGUUAGCACCUUAUAAAAUAUGAAAAAAAAUUUCUACCUUUUGAAAAGGAUCGUAGUGAAAUUAAAAACAUUUUUUUUUUUUAUAUGAACAAAAAUUUUUGUAAAGUAAAUGUUUCGGAAAUAUUUCUUCAUUUUAAAGAAAUCUUUGUAUCAAAGUCUACGAAUGUUUUCAAUAUUCAUCAUCAACUUUUUAUACUUGAAACAUAUAUGCAUGUAUAUGACCUUCAAUGGCUUACUUUUAUAAAUUUUGACUUUUAACCAAAAUUUAUAUUGAUAAAAUAGAUAUAUAAGAGACAAUUAUUUAGAAAAAUAUGUAUUUAUUUUCUAUCAGGUUCCACUUCAACUUUAUAUUGCUGUCAUAGCUGUAACGCUUGCCAUUGCUCUCCCUAAUCCGAAGCGUAAUAAAUGGGAGCUCUGUCAGAAAUACGACUUGUUGUAUAGACAAUGUCUACCACCACAGGAAUGGAUAUGUGAUAAGAGUAAGGUUCCAGAAACCUACAUUAGAUAUAACAUGUAAGUACUCUUAUCAUAUAAAAUCUUAUUAAUAAGUCAACUCAUCAUAGAUGUUAUGAUUAUACAAUAAUUAAAAAUAAAAUGGCAGCACUUCUGAGAAAAUAUAUGAGAUUAUCGAGGUAAUCGUUCAGGUUUAUCCAAAGUCCAUUAAAACGUUGGUGAUAUGUUACAGCAUAAAAGGUUAAAAGGUAAAGAUUAAAGAUCAGAAUUCCCACACACGCUUCACUUAAGAAAAAAACAAAUACAAAUUUAAAAAAAAAAACAAUGGCUAUCUCUGAUAUUUCAUAAUUUUGUAUAUUGAACAGCCUUGAAAUUAAAGAUGUGAUUGACUAUUUGAUGAGAUAUAAAUAAAACUCUCUCUUACAGACGUCAAGCAAUGAAAGACUCAGACGGAAGUUUUGUGAAUUACUUAAAACACAGCCAAGAAUGCGAUGGUGUCUCAAAACACGUAUUCUCUAAACAAAAUGCAGUAGAUGAUAACAGAGGAACUGGGUAAAUAUAUUUUAGAAAUAGAAAAUUUCAAUUAAGAACUGACGACUUUAUAAUGUUGUCUUCAGAAAUGUCUUUAGACGGAACGGUCAGAGUGCAUGUUUUUUUUUUGUUUUUUGUUUUUUUUUAUUCUAAACACAUAGCACCUAAAAGAGUUGUGUUUUGAAAGUUGAACUCUUGUUAAAUUUUGAGCUGGUACGUAUCUUUCACAUUAACACAUUUCAAUGUUUGCUAUCUGGUUAGUUCUUUUGUAUGACAUAAAUGCUCACAAUCCCAAAAAAAAAGAGCUCAGAUUUGGUCUAAAAUGAAUAAUUAAACAAUCAAUACUUAGUUAUGUUAAAGAAAAAAAGUUAUGAAUAGUUAUGACCAAUAAUGAACAUAUAUAACCAGGAAUGACUUUAAAUUUGACAUGAAAGUAUGACAUUAUAAGUUCAUUGAUAUGAGUUUAUACUUUAUAGUUUAUGUUUGUUUUUCUACCUUGCUUUAUGUUGAUUUAGAUCAAAGCAAAUGAAAGGCGUAUAUCGUAAGACACUUUACUCUGACCAACUAAUGUGUUUCUUCUAAUCAAUCCACUUUAUAUUUUCUUUUCUAUAAUCUUUUUCUUAAAUUCUUAUUAUUUUAAUCUAUUUUGAAAAAAAACACAAUCACUCAGUUCGACUUUUUGCGGUACUACUAGUAACAUUUCACAGUAAUUUAAACUUUACCACCUGCUAAUAUGUCUUCUGUUUCGGGAUAAAAACUAAAUUAGAAUAAAGUCACAUUGUCACAUAAUGGUUUAGAUAAAUAUUUCCAUGUUUUUAUUUUAGAAUGACGAAAAUGGCAAAGAUCCAUAAAUUUCCUAUGUGCAGAGAAGUACGCACACCUGUGACCUAUAUUUAUAGAUCCAUCAACCAAAUAAUAACUGGUAAAAAACUGGGCGAUGAAAUUUGUGAAGUUGUUUUAAGCGAACAAGGAGUCCAAACUAUUAAUAAAGUGGAGUGUAUAGGGUGAGUCAAACAUAUCAUUUAAAAUAGAAGAAAAGUUUGCCCUGUUUAGAAUUUGGUUGACAUCUUUCUGAAAUAUAAGUAACACUUCAUCUUAUUCAUGUUUUAAUAGUGAACGAGUGAAUACAGAAAAUGAGAGAAAAAAAACGCUAAAUAUUUCUGAAUUAAAUGGCAACCAAUCCAAGAAAAAAAGACAUGCUACUGUAGUUAGGCCAGAUUGAAAUAUAGGCCAAACGUAACUAUGUACGUGUAACUGAUUCUCAUGAUUCAUAUUUUGGAAAUCCCCUAGAAUGUAAUGUGUUUGUUGGUCCAGUUAAUGAGUUUCUUAUUUUCUUAUUCUAAACAUACAUAUUUGCGCAUGUUAAACUGCGAUGGCCCAAAAAUAGUGUGCCAGUUUCAUGUUAGUCUGUAUCAACCAUAUUCCUGGUUUUUUGUCUAUUAUACUUUAUUAAUAGGAGACGGAUGAAAAUUAUUGUCUGUUACUUUCGACAGUUCCCGAUAUCUUUUUUAACGAAUAAUUAGAGAUCCCUCUAUUCCCAUACUUACCAAUCUUGUCCCUUAUAGCUAGUAAUCAGUCUGCGUUUUGUUUUGUUUUGGCCCAUCGUAAAUGUAUGAUACACAUUAAGGUAUGGGUGGGGUUUACAGGAUAGAUGAUAAAGGGCCACAAAUGCAGAAAAUCAGGGAAAAAAGAAGAGAAAAAUAGUCCAAAAAAGAAGGAAUAGAUAAUAAUGAGAAAACACAAUUGAAUAGGGGUGGGGAAUUAUCAAAAACAUAAAACUACGGAAAUGAAAGUCUCCCAUUCAGACAUUAACACAUGUUUAGCGUUGAAGACUUGUGUUCACUUUCAUUAUAUACCUUGGGUUAUUUGUAUCAUUUGGUAUUUAUAUCAUUGGGGUGUAGCCUGCAUCUCAUUGAACGCAUUCCUAGCAAAAUAGUAUCAUGUUUAAUCUGACCUUAUUUUGUUCAUUUAAUUAUUUGUUACUUUUAAAUUUACAGACAUAAGAAAACAACAAAAUGCAAAUUUCAUUAUGCACCACAAAAGGAUUAUUACUGCCGACCAACCAAUUACGUCACCAGAACGAUGGCAGUGGUAUGCCCCAGUGACAAUGGAAGAAUAACACUCCAUGCCGAGAAGAUCCCAACAGCAUGUAGUUGUGUAAAGGUUGGAUGUGACGAUACAUUCCCCCUCAAAAAAAUACUCUAAAAUGAAAAAAAAAGUAUUGAGUAACUUACAAGGGCAUGUGCAAUAUAUUUCAUCCUCAUCAUUUAUGUGUAUUGUUUUAACUUUUAUGUCUUUUUACAAACAACAAAGGAAAUAUUGAAUAAAAUGUAUAUU